ensembl:lncRNA
GUGCAGGUUAACCGGAAGUUUUGAUUAAUGGGUACAUAAAGCACUCAAAAUAUGUAUAUAAAGUUAGAAAUGUCUCCAAAAUGGUGUUAAAGUCCAGUUUUUGUAGUUUUUGGUUAGUAACGGUUAUUUUUUACGCAAUUUGGCGAUGACGUCACAUAAGGUAGACGCAUUAGAACUAGCAUUAUGGCGGACGGGGAUGAGGAAGAGGUAGCAAGACCCACUGUCAACAUUUAUGAUGGCCCACAGCCAUAUAAUUUCGAACCGGUUAGGCGUAUGAGGGGAAAUGAGGAAAUCCCGAGAGCCGAUGUCCGUCAAAGACAAAUAAAUGCAUGGUCAGAGGAGAAUGAGUGGAGAGUUGGUGAAGUGUCCUGGUGUCUGUGUGGGCGGUGUCGUCCCAUGGAAACUGUGGUGGAGAGCUUGUGUUGUAGGGAGGUGAGCGCGUUUUGGUCGCUGGUCGAGGAGCUCACCCCGCGGCCAGCAGAUGUAACGUGCCUAACGCAGCAUCCUGGAUUUGAGGCAUGCUGCCUGAAUCCGUUUGUGCUAAAAAUAGCAUACACACACUUCAGGCAGGAUCAUGGUCCCCUUCAAGCCAGCACGCACGAGCAAUACCGGUACACUGCGUACAGGCAAGCUAUACGCUGGGCUUAUGGCGUUUUAGG